UAAGCGAUAAUCCACGUAAUAUCUUACCUAUUUUUAAAAAUAGUUUGUAUACCGUCAUUUAGAUAACUUUUAUAGAUGAAGUUAUUGAAAUAAUUUAAUGUAAUUAAGAUGUUAGAUCAAGGUGCAGCAAAUAAAUAGGUUAGAAUGGGUUACAAUAAAAUUUAUUUAUAACGAAGAGAACUUUGAAUAAUGUUUUUUAAGGUGGACUUUAAAGUAAAACUAAUUUAAUAAGAUAGUUUGAUUUUAGCUCUAARUUGUGUACAUAUCGCCCGUCG
rnacentral:rRNA from 1 species